rnacentral:lncRNA from 1 species
GACUACUUCCUUCACUCGAAGUCAGAAAGCCACUUCGAACUCAAAAAUGGCAGACAUGUGUUAUGCAAGAAACCUACCAAUCGGGGCAAACCUUUCCUUCGGGGUGCAUCUAAAGUGACUCGGCAAAAUUGUGCCAAAUCUAGGACCAAGACCUUGCCCCUUACACCUAUUUCGGACCACCAACUCAACUGGCCAUGUAGGUAAACCCUACGGCUAACAUCAAUGAUUAACAAUUUUGACUCAAAGGUUAGUG